AGGACGAACGCUGGCGGCGUGCCUCAUACAUGCAAGUGGAGCGACGAACCAGGCUUCGGCCUGGGGCAAAGCCGCGAACGGGUGAGUAACACGUGGGUUACCUGCCCCGAUGAUUGGGACAACCCGAGGAAAACUCGGGCUAAUACCAAAUGUGCUCCUGGCCGUGAUGGCCAGGUGGAAAGGAAGCUUCGGCCUCCGCAUCGGGAUGGGCCCGCGGCCCAUUAGCUAGUUGGUGGGGUAAUGGCCUACCAAGGCGACGAUGGGUAGC
rnacentral:rRNA from 1 species